AUGAUUUUCUCUCUUCUGUUCUCUUCAGGGGAUUCCUGCAUUUGUGUGCAAAAAUGGGAAACUGCCUUCGUCUCUCAUCUGAUUGGAAAGUGCUUCUCUUGCUGGCCAGGAAACCAGGCAGAUGGUUGCACUGGGUCUGGCCACAAUGGUAAGAGAAAAAUAAUAACAAUGCCAGCUUUCCUUGUAGCUCUUUUUUUCCUUAGAUUUCAAAGUGCUUUACAAAGGUCAACAUAAUUAUUCCUCAUUUUUCAUAUAUGGAAAUUGAAGCAUUUAACUGUGAAGUGGCAUUCAAAUAUAGAACCAGCAUAUUAGUUUCGAGUUAAAAACAGAAGCUGAUAUUAUUUUCAGUAGCAUUACCAGCAGCUGAAGUGUGUCUUAAGGAGUACUAGUAUUCUAGUACCAGCGUAGGAGUUCUAGCACAGAGAAAAAGAAAUCCUCAAAUGUCAUUUAUUAUUGUGUCCUAUUUUGCUGUCAUGGCAUUGCUCUUUGCCACAUGGGUAUGCCAGACAUCUGCACACCAAAAUGUUGCAACCUCUGGACUGUUCAUCGAUUGUUUUUUAUGGUGAUAAAGUGAAAGGUGAAUUUAAAAUAAUAGCGGGUACAUGCUCAUGUGCACAUGCAUUGUGUGUAACAUAGGUGUGUAUCCGUAUGUUAUGUGUAGUUGUUUGGAUGUGGUCUGAGCUGCAUCUGUUAGCAAUGAAAAAUAUGUGUUCUCUCACAGACAUAAAAUUCUGGGCAACUUAACGGUGAAUAUUUUCAUCAGAUCUCUCCCCAUCCUGUUAUUUAUAAUCAGUGAAACUAGUAUGCAGUACUCUAAGUCCAUAGAACAGAUAGAAAAUAGCCAUGAAGGGAAAAAUUUUUAAUGUUUGCCAGAUGAUAAUCCAGAAGGUCUACAUGUUCAGAAUUUUGAUCGUUGACCCCGUUACCUUCUUCAACAACACAAGAUGGAAGAAGAUAAUCAGAUUAUGUAUUAGAAAGCAAGUAGUCAGCAACGUAAUAGGGUAGACUUCUUUUAAAGUAUGUAGACAAGAUUUUAUAAGUAAUGGGUAGCUUUAUGCACAUGCUACACAUAUGCUGUGGGAUAAAAAGGAACUGACUGGCUCAAGGGAGGAAAGGGUGGAAAGCAUGUAAGAGGACAGAUGCGAAGAGGUAAGUAAAGGUAGCAGAACAAUACCACCCAGUCAGCUCUCUGUGAAAAGGGAAAAGUCUUAAAUGAAGGAUCCUUUCUAGAUUUUUUAAUAUGCCAUAUAUAAUAUACUGCUUUGUACUUCCUGUUUAUUUUUUGGUGUAUUUUAUGAGCUCAGGAGUGUGAUUCCAGUCAGACAAUGCAAAAAUGGAAAUGUUUUGCUGGAAAAGUGCUCUGUUCUUUUCAUGUGAUGAAUCCUGAAAUAAUAAUUCCUUUUGUUUUUUAUUCCAAAUAGUGCUGCAGAACAGCUACAGCUCUUCAAGACACUUCUUAUGUCUCUCUGGCUAUACAGAAUCAUAGAAUCAUUAAGGUUGGAAAAGAUCUCCAAGACCAUCUAGUCCAAUCAUCCCCUUACUACCAAUGUUACCCACUAAACCAUGUCCUGAAGCACCAUGUCCAACCCUUUCUUAAACACCCCCAGGGACGGUGACUCCACCACCUCGCCGGGCAACCUGUUCCAAUGCCUGGCUGCUCUUUCUGAGAAGAAAUGUCUCCUAAUUUCCAACCUAAACCUCCCGUGGUGCAACUUGAGGCUGUUCCCUCUAGUCCUAUCACUAGUUAUCUGUAAGAAGAGGCUGACCCCCAGCUCCCCAUCACUUCCUUUCAGGUAGCUGUAGAGAGCAAUAAGGUCUCUCCUGAGCCUCCCCUUCUCCAGACUAAACAACCCCAGGUCUCUCAGCUGCCCCUCAUUGGACUUGUGCUCCAGGCCCUUCACCAGCUUUUUAGCCCUUCUCUGGACAUGCUCCAGGGCCUCGAUGUCCUUCUUGUACUGAGGGGCCCAAAGCUGAACACAGUAUUCGAGGCGUGGCCGCACCAGAGCAGACUACAGGGGGACAAUCACCUCCCUGGUCCUGCUGGCUGCACUAUUCCUGAUAGAAGCCAGGAUGCCUUCUUGGCCACCUGGGCACACUGCCGGCUAAUGUUCAGGUGAACAUCAAUCAUCACUCUCAGAUCCUUUUCCUCUGCACAGCUUUCGAGACACUCUCCCCCAAGCCUGUAGCACUGCAUGGGGUUGUUGUGGCUAAAGUUCAGGACCUGGCACUUAGCCAUGUUGAACCUCAUCCCAUUGGCCUCUGCCCAUUGAACCAUCCUUCCCAGGUCUCUCUGCAGGGCCCUCCUACCCUCCAGCAGAUCAACACUUCCACCCAACUUGGUCUCGUAUGUAAACUUAUUGAGUGUACACUCAAUUCCCUCAUCCAAAUCAUCAAUAAACAUAUUAAUGAUGAUGGGCCCCA
rnacentral:lncRNA from 1 species